CUACGGGAGGCAGCAGUCGAGAAUCAUUCACAAUGGGGGAAACCCUGAUGGUGCGACGCCGCGUGGGGGAAUGAAGGUCUUCGGAUUGUAAACCCCUGUCAUGUGGGAGCAAAUUAAAAAGAUAGUACCACAAGAGGAAGAGACGGCUAACUCUGUGCCAGCAGCCGCGAUAAUACAGAGGUCUCAAGCGUUGUUCGGAAUCACUGGGCGUAAAGCGUGCGUAGGCUGUUUCGUAAGUCGUGUGUGAAAGGCGCGGGCUCAACCCGCGGACGGCACAUGAUACUGCGAGACUAGAGUAAUGGAGG
rnacentral:rRNA from 1 species